UACAGAGGGGGCAAGCGUUGCUCGGAAUUACUGGGCGUAAAGGGCGCGUAGGCGGCCUUCUAAGUCGAACGUGAAAUCCCCGGGCUCAACCCGGGAACUGCGUCCGAUACUGGAAGGCUUGAAUCCGGGAGAGGGAUGCGGAAUUCCAGGUGUAGCGGUGAAAUGCGUAGAUAUCUGGAGGAACACCGGUGGCGAAGGCGGCAUCCUGGACCGGCAUUGACGCUGAGGCGCGAAAGCCAGGGGAGCAAACGGG
rnacentral:rRNA from 1 species